GACAGCGUGGCCGAGCGGUCUAAGGCGCCAGACUCAAGUGAAAACUUGCCUGCCUGAAGCGGGUCUGAGUGUUCUGGUCAGUGAAUACUGGCGUGGGUUCGAAUCCCACCGCUGUCA
rfam:Trichuris suis scaffold80.1, whole genome shotgun sequence.